AUGCAUAUGAUGCGGCGGCUCAAGAGCAUCGCCUCCGGCCGCUCCUCCGUCUCCGAUCCGGGUGGUGACUCUGGCUCAAAAAGGCCAAAAUUUGAUCAGGAUGGAUUGGGCGAUAUUGUCAUUCAACCACAUCUAUCUGAUGACAAACCUAUGCAUCUAGACCAAGAAUCAUCAUCAUCAUCAUCUCAUAGAGAUGCUGAGGCAAGCACAUCUACUAGUAUGAAUCCUGCUAAAGCUGAAGAAACGGGUGCAGAUCUUCCGAAAGGAAUGAAUGAUAUGACAAUAAGCGAUGAUAAAGUUGGCCAUAAUAAUGAUAAGGAAGCUGAAGGGGUUACCGUUGAUGGAAAUGGAACAGAAGCUGGCCAGAUCAUUGUGACAACAAUAGGAGGUCAAAAUGGGAAGCCAAAGCAGAAGGUCUCAUACAUGGCAGAACGCGUCGUUGGGACUGGUUCGUUUGGUGUAGUAUAUCAGGCCAAGUGCUUGGAAACUGGAGAGACUGUUGCCAUUAAGAAGGUGCUGCAGGAUAAGAGAUAUAAGAACAGAGAGUUGCAAACAAUGCAGUUACUUGAGCAUCCAAAUGUAGUUCAGCUAAAGCAUCACUUCUUUUCGACAACUGAGAGGGGUGAAGUGUACCUAAACCUUGUACUUGAAUAUGUCUCAGAGACAGUUUAUCGUGUUGCCAAAUAUUAUUGUCGGCUGAACCAGCGUGUACCCAUACUAUAUGUUAAGUUGUAUGCAUAUCAGAUGUGCCGGGCCCUUGCAUAUAUCCAUCGUGUUGUUGGUGUAUGCCAUCGAGAUAUUAAGCCGCAAAAUCUGUUGGUCAAUCCUCAUACGCAUCAACUUAAGCUUUGUGAUUUUGGGAGUGCUAAAAAACUGGUCCCUGGAGAGCCAAACAUCUCAUACAUCUGCUCGCGGUAUUAUAGGGCUCCUGAACUAAUAUUUGGAGCUACAGAGUACACCACAGCAAUUGAUAUCUGGUCUGUUGGUUGUGUAGUAGCUGAGCUUCUGAUUGGUCAGCCUCUGUUUCCUGGAGAAAGUGGCGUUGAUCAGUUGGUUGAAAUUAUAAAGAUUUUGGGUACCCCAACAAGAGAAGAAAUCAGAUGCAUGAACCCAAACUACUCCGAAUUCAAGUUCCCUCAGAUAAAAGCUCAUCCCUGGCACAAGCUUUUUGGUAAGCGUAUGCCACCUGAAGCAGUUGAUCUUGUGUCAAGGCUACUUCAGUACUCACCAAAUCUGCGCUGCAUAGCUGUUGAUGCUUGUGCCCAUCCGUUCUUCGAUGAACUGCGGGAUCCCAAGACCUGCUUGCCAAAUGGACGGCCAUUACCACCAUUAUUCAACUUCUCGGGGGCUGAGCUAGAAGGCCUCCCUGUUGAGCUACUCCACCGGAUCAUUCCUGAACAGAUGAGGAAGUGA
rnacentral:rRNA from 1 species